UUUUUUUUUUUCAGACAUUCUUUAUUUUAGUUUUCUCUGUGGUUGAAGAGUACGGCGCACAUUUUCCCCUUUUAGCCAUGCGUGAGUCUAAAUGGCUUUUAUGGAGAGAUUAGCACACCCCGACUUUAAUACAAGGUUUCCUUUUUUUAAGGAUGUGUUUGUAUACUUUCUGGACUUUUGAAUUAAAAAAAAUAUAUAUUAUGAUCUUAAAGGGAUCACUGUAGAUGUGGACAAAUCAUUAAAGAGUGCAGAGAUAUAUGAUCCAUAACUGGUUAGUGAAAAUAACUUAUUGAUGAAAUAUAAAAAAAUAUUUUAUUGUAGCACCUAUUUUUAUAUGCACAUUAGCAUUUCUCUUUCCUUCACUAUUUUAGGGCCUAAUCUUGCAAAUUUUUAACUCAUUUGAACUCACUCAUUGAGCAAAGUUUGUCAAAAGCCCAAAAAAUUAGGAUAGAGUAUGCAUUCUUACAAGUAAAAAUUAUUGGAAUGUUUGAGUGUUUUUUUUUUGUUUGUUUUUUGUUUUUUUUUCAGGAUGGGGUCCAAAGGUUGUGGAUUGCUUUAAAGUAUUGCACUACAGUGAGAGCUUUUUUCCCAAAUAUGAUAUAGUAUCAGAAAGAACUUUUAAAUCUCUAUAGAUAAUGCCAGUUAUGACCAAAUCUUAACAGACAAUCUGAGAUAUAAAAUCUGAUCACAGUAGGAAAAAAAAUCAUGUUUCUCUAUUGAAAAAAUGUGUCUUUUAGCAACCUCCUGCUCAGGAGUCUGGUUGGGCAAACUAGUGAGGGAAAUGUAGAAGGCAUUCUAAGUUUCAUUUUUGAUUUGUUGGUUUCAUUUUUUUCUUUUUUUCUUUUAAAUCUUGUAUUAGUUAACCAAAAUACAAUGAUUUUGCAACUGUUGUAGCCAGAUUAUGAUUGUUCAGUCAAGUACAAUUGCACUUGUACAGAUCCACACGUUUACUGGCAUCCUGAAAGACCAAAUGAUGGACUGUACACAUCUCUAUAAAAUGUCUUUACCCCUUUGGGCAGCAGGCAAUGGCAAGGAUAUUCAUAAAUACAGCAUCACUGUAAGAUGGGACAACUGAUGUCUCAUAUGUAUCCCAGCACAUGUGAUUUUUUAAUAGUUUCUGAAUAAACACUUGGUAAAUAUUUCAAAUGUAAGAUCCUGAAGUAAUGAGUAUCUGAACUUUAAAAAUUUCUGGCCAAAAUAAUCUGUUUGUACAUUGGAUUCUCUUUACUAGCAAUUAAGGCUCAUCAAAAAGAUCUAACAUUUCUAGGCAAAAUAUAAUGUGUUCUCUGUUUUUGAAACAUGACAUGUGGUAAUUACCAGCAUAUAUAACGUGGGUCAGAAAGCAACACAGGAAUAUAUGUUUCAACAACAUAUUGAAGAGGAAUAGUUUUAUACUUACAUUUUGUUUCCUUACAAUGUAAAAGAGGUGUUCUUUAAUAUAUGGAACAGGGUAAGUGAUAUUUCACAUGUGUUUUCUUUUUUCAUUAGGUUAUUAUAUUUAAUACUGUUUCCAGAGUUGCUCACUAGUACAUCUUUUAUUGCAAAAGGGCUCUGUUCUAUUCUGCUUUUCCUACCCAUGUACAAUCUGUCACUUUCUACAAAAACAAAGCUGUAUAACUGGUCUGUUGGAAUUCAAGAAAAAUGUUUUCUUGGCGUGUGUUCUUCCCUCUAUGCCACCCACACUGAGCAAAAGCAAAAAAAAAUCAAAAAAUAAGCAUGACUGUAUUUAGCUUGGACAGUUUAGUAAGUGGAGUGUUAUUUCAGUUUGAAAUGCAGAGUUGAGGAGUGUUCUUUUGUCACAAGAGACAUAACAAAUGGCUAUUCUGUUCACUGCUCUCCAUCUCCUGCACACUUCCCAUUGACACCAGUGAGAGAUGUUGUGUGUGGCUGCCUGAGUGCUGUUUUGGACUCCUAACUUUGAA
ensembl:lncRNA